GUCGUAACAAGGUUUCCGUAGGUGAACCUGCGGAAGGAUCAUUCGCACGUAACGAACCAAACAACCGUGAACCAGUCCGUGAAGCUUCGGCGGGGGCCUCACAGCCUCCAAUGCGGCUUCAAGGGCAUGCGCUGCAGGGGAAGGCGCUGCGGCGACGCCCCUGUGCCUUGCCACGGUCAUUUGAUCUAUACUUUCCAAAUCUUAAUCCUCACAUUGGCUUGCCAAUGUUUUCUGUAAACAACUUUCAGCGACGGAUGUCUCGGCUCGAACAACGAUGAAGGGCGCAGCGAAGUGUGAUAAACAUUGUGAAUUGCAGAAUUCCGUGAACCAACAGGUACUUGAACGCAUACUGCGCUUUCGGGAUAUCCCUGAAAGCAUGCCUGCUUCAGUGUCUACUCUUUCUCAUUCACUACCGACUCUUGUGGGUUGUGAGUUUUUGCGCGCCACGGUGCACUUGUGCCCGCGGCGUGUGUAGUGCAUUAUACUUCCGUUUCGAUGACUUUUCAUUGCACUGAUAACUUUCAGCUGUAAUGCCUUGUCUGACCGAUGGGAGUUGCUUCUGCAGCCCUAGUGGCGUGCACACAAAGACAUGAAGUUAGGUCAGAGAACCCGCUGAAUUUAAGCAUAUAAGUAAGCGGAGGAAAAGAAACUAAAUAGGAUUCCCUUAGUAAUGGCGAAUGAACAGGGAUGAGCUCAGCAUGGAAAUCGGGGCCUCUGGCCUUGAAUUGUAGUCUCGAGAUGUAUUACCAACGGCGGCGCAGAUGUAAGCCUCUUGGAAAAGAGCAUCAGUGAGGGUGAGAGUCCCGUUUGUCAUCUGUAGUCCGCCGUGCACGGUGUACGUUCUAAGAGUCACGUUCCUCGGAAUUGGAGCGCAAAGUGGGUGGUAAAUUUCAUCUCAAGCUAAAUAUUGGUUCGAGACCGAUAGCAAACAAGUACCAUGAGGGAAAGAUGAAAAGGACUUUGAAAAGAGAGUUAAACAGUGCCUGAAAUUGCUGAAAGGGAAGCGAAUGGAACCAGUGUAUCUUGGUGAGAUUGUUGCGUGCCAAUGUGAUUGCUUGUUGCAUCAACGCAAGUGUUGCAGCGGGUUUUGAUGUGGACGCGCGCAGUGUAUCUUUCCAUGUGUGUCAACGUCAGUUCGCAGUUGAGGACAACUCCAGAACGACGGUGACUAAAUGGUUCUUUUCGACCCGUCUUGAAACACGGACCAAGGAGUCUAACAUAUGUGCGAGUUCACGGGCGGGUAAACCUGCUUGCGCAAUGAAAGUGACUGCUGGGAUCUUUGCACCAGCAACCGACCAAUCAAUUGAGAGAGGUUUGAGUAUGAGCAUAUCUGUUAGGACCCGAAAGAUGGUGAACUAUGCGUGA
rnacentral:rRNA from 1 species